CACGAUUCUCAACAACUUUGAUUAAUUAAUUGCAACGACGAUCCAUCAGCCGGGAAGAAACUUAACAAGUCGAUCGAUCAACAAUCAACGUGAUGAGAUGAUGAACAGCGAAUAAUCAAGUACUGGAAUCAACGACGACGACGACGACCAAGAGCGGGGGAACGAAAUUAAACUAAACAAGAGUACUAGUAGCUAGCUAGACGGCAUGAACACACCAGGAGCUAGCUGGAGCGCUAAUCGACCAGAUCGAUCGAUAGCACUCCUCCCGGCCUCUCUACUACUUGGUGAUGGCGUAGAUGGCGUAGAUGAUGCCGGGGAGGUAGCCGAGGAAGGUGAGGAGGAGGCAGAUCCAGAACUCGUGCCCGCACCCGUGCUUGAGGAACACCCCCAGCGGCGGCAGGAUGAUGGCGAUCAGGAUGUCGACGCAGUUCGCCGUCCCCUCCGACAUCUUUGCUGCUGCUGUUGCUUCUCUUCCUUUCCUUUGUUGCUGCUGCUGGAUCGGAGGACCUUCUCCCUCUCUCCUUCUCCUGCUUGAUGCUGUUGGCUCUCAGUGCCGUGCUCUGGUAGUCUGUUUGUUUGCUGUGCUUGGAUUCCUCCUUUCCUUUGGUCCGGGUGAUUUUAUAGACCGGGGGGGGACAGGUAGGUAGGAACACGAGAAAAACGAGGUGCGACGAUGGCGCGGGGUGCCACGUGCCGGGGCCCCGCGAGGCGUACAAGUGGCGCCCAUGCC
rnacentral:lncRNA from 1 species